GAUUAUGGCUCAGGAUGAACGCUAGCUACAGGCUUAACACAUGCAAGUCGAGGGGCAGCAUGAACUUAGCUUGCUAAGUUGAUGGCGACCGGCGCACGGGUGAGUAACGCGUAUCCAACCUGGCCCUUAGUAGGGGAUAGCCCGGCGAAAGUCGGAUUAAUACCCUAUGUUUUCCGAAGCGAGCAUUCAAUUUGGAACAAAGAUUCAUCGCUAAGGGAUGGGGAUGCGUCUGAUUAGGUAGUCGGCGGGGUAACGGCCCACCGAGCCGACGAUCAGUAGGGGUUCUGAGAGGAAGGUCCCCCACAUUGGUACUGAGACACGGACCAAACUCCUACGGGAGGCAGCAGUGAGGAAUAUUGGUCAAUGGGCGAGAGCCUGAACCAGCCAAGUAGCCGUGCAGGACGACGGCCCUAUGGGUUGUAAACUGCUUUUGGAGGGGAAUAAAGUGAGGCACGUGUGCCUUUUUGUAUGUACCCUCAGAAUAAGGACCGGCUAAUUCCGUGCCAGCCGCUGC
rnacentral:rRNA from 1 species